rnacentral:lncRNA from 1 species
ACCUGUUGAUUUCUCCACCGGGAUAUUUAUGGCCUUGGGUAGUUCAAGUACGGAGAGUGAGGUCUGGGAGGACCAGUUCCAGACGGACGAGCUGCAUAAAUGAGUAGAUGGCACAACAGGAAGGCAACGGAUUAAUUAUUUUGCAUGAUAAACUGUAUAACAUUUCAUUUUUCUAUGCAUGUUAGGAGUUGAUAUGAUUUUUUGCUUUCUAGGUGUUACAGAACAAACAAACAUGGUUAUAGUUUAUCAAUAAAGCUCUAUAUGUUUCUUAAUGUGCCACUAUCAGAAAAAGAGCCUGUAGUACCGGUUGGAAACGCUCGUUAGUACCGGUUGAAACCAGCAACCGAGACUUUUAGACUCGGUCUUUAGUACCAUGUAAAACGAUCGGUACUUAAAAAGCCUUCUUGAAAAGACCAGCCGGUGCUAAAGGAGCCGCUGCGUAGCUAGGGGUUCAUUUAGCACUUGUUGGUUUCACUAACACGUACUAAAGUGGGUUUUCUUUUUUCUUAAUGUGUGCUAUAAGUUACUCCUACAAAACUCAAUAUGUAUGUUUGCUUGUACACGGAGACAAUCUGGCUUAAUAAAGUUAGCAUAUAAUUGGAACAUGUAAUCAUCGUGGCCUCUGCAGUAAUUGAUUACCUAAAAUUUAGAAUUUUAAUUGUUCCUCCCCGAAAAGUUAGCUAAUGCAAAUUAUCCGCGUCUAUUGCAUUCGUCCAUAAUUAUCCUCAGAUUUAACGUUGUUAGGUAUGGUGCCAAUCUCUCGAGUGCGUUGAAACUUAAGGGGUGUUUCUCGAGUUCGUUGAAAUUUAGGGGGUGUUUCUCGAAUCUGUUGAAACUUAAGGGGUGUUUGGUUAUCUGAGACUUAUAAUAAACCCCAUCCAAUAAGCUCCAAAUAAGCCACAUCCAUCCAAACACCUAGACUUAAAGGUGAGGCUUAUUAUAAGCCUCUCCAUAAGCCCAUAAGCCCCUUUAAGGGGUUACGAGGCUUAUCUCCCGUGGGUCCCACCAGAAAAAAGUACUUUCCAACCCCUAACCCUCCACAAUCCUAUCAAUUCAGCCCCUUUAAGGAUAUUAACGAGGGGCGUAAAAGUCUUUUGCUACUACACAGGUUUAUUAUAAACCCAUACACCAAACACCUAUUUACAACCAAACAUCUAUUUAAGCUUAUUAUAAACCUCUCCAUGUGAGAGACUUAUAGGCUUAUAAUAAGUCUCAAUUAACAAAACAGGUUCUACUCUAUAUCUAGCUUAAAAUCACAAAUUCUCGAGAGAAAUGCCGACUGUACUAUUAGAGUGCAAGAAUAAGAAUUCCCGAUGUUUUUGUGGUGGCCACUUCUCUCUCGAGGCCUAACGUCCCUGACCGAGACAUUACCGGUGUUUUUUCUACAAAAGAUCUAUUUUCUAAUAUAUAUCUAGAUCGUUAUAUCUCUACUAUUUUUUAGUAAAGUAAGUAAUGAUUUCUUGAUCCGUCAAUCGGAAUUCUAAUCGGAAUCCAGAUCCAGAUAAAUUAAUUAGAAUCCUAAUCGGAGGUUCGGAACAUGGACAAAUCAAUCGGAAUCUAAUCGGAACCUGGACAAUCAAUGCUAGCGCCGUCACGAUACAACCUAUACACGGAGUGAAAGAAUAUAAAGUUGGUGGUGUUAUAUAAGUCUAGAUAAAAUUUGUAUUACCUGUUGUAAUGUAUGGGUACCGCGCUACGUCAUAAAGGGCACAUCUGUACGUACGAGCCAUUGUAUUAACUCUUUCUUUGUAGCUAGCUAGGGAGUUACAAGCUUGGACUUUAGAACGGGAGGUCUCAAAUCUUUGUAUCGUGUUGUCGUAGUCUUAGUGUAAAUGGGCACUUAUAAUUAAAAAAAAGAUUGGGGAAAGAAAAAAAAUCAGGGGCGGUGGGCACUCACGGUGGCGAUUGACUACGCACCGUACUGAUGGUGUACACAUAGGCUUAUGACUAUCAGUUCCAGACCGACUAGCUGCAUAAAUGAGAAGAUGGCACAACAGGAAGGCAACAGAUUAAUUUAUUUUUGCAUAAUAAACUGUAUAAAAUUUCAUUUUUCUAUGCAUGUUAGGAGUUGAUAUGAUUUUUUUCUAGGUGUAACACAGAACAGACAUUAUUAUAAUUUAUCAAUAAAGCUCUAUAUGUUUCUUAAUGUGUGCUAUAAGUUACUCCUACAGGACUCAAUUAAUAUGUCUGUUUUCUUCGACACGGAGACAAUCUGGUUUAAUGAAGUUAGCAUGUAAUUGGAGCAUGUAAUCAUCGUAGCCUCUACCAAUAAUCGAUUACCUAAUUCAGAAUUUUAAUUGUUCCUCCCCAAAAGUUAGCUAAUGCAAAUUGCCCGUAUCUAUCGCAUUCAUUCAUAAUUAUCCUCAGAUUUAACGUUGUCAGGUAUGGCGCCAAUCUCUCGAGUCUGUUGAAAUUUACUCUAGCUAUAUCUAUAGCUUAAAAUCACAAAUUCUUGAGAAAACGCCAGCUGUAUUACCAGAGUGCAAGAAUAAGGGUUAGUUUGGUGGAGCUCCAACUCAUUCUGAUUCUCUAUGGGAGCUGAUCUCUAAAAGAAAUGAUUCUAUAAGACAAAUGAUUCACUAGCUGAAAGUGAUCUCUAUAAUUCUCUAAGAUUAACUUUAUAAAAAAUAGAUCAGUGUAAGAAUUGAAUCAGGAGAAACUACUUUUUUAGCUCCCAGCUUCUUUGUUGAUUUUAGAAAAUCACUCUACAGAAUCACCAUAGAAUCACUUUUCUCGAAAAAAACUAUUUGGCAGGCUUUUUCUGAAUUGAGCCUGGAAGCUGCUACGAAGCUCUGGCAGUCACAGCCUAACAAUCCCCGAUGUUUCCAUUGUGGCCACUUCUCUCUCAAGGCCCAACGUCCCUGACGAAGACAUCACCUGUAUUUGCUACAAAAGAUCAUUUUUCUAAUAUCUAGAUCGCUCUAUAAGUGAUAAUGAGCACAUCUGUACGAACCGUUGUAUUCACUCUUUCUUCGUAGCUUGCCAGGGAAUUACAAGCUUGUACUUUAGAAUGGGAGGUCCCAAGUCUUUGUAUCGUGUUAUCAUACUCUUAGUGUAAAUGGGUCCUGAUAAAAAAAUAAUGGGGAAAGAAAAAAAAAUUAGCUAGGGGUGGUGGACACUUACAAUAGGGAUGGCUUUUGCCAGGAGAGCACUGUAGUGAUGGUGGGCAACUAGGCCUAUCAGGUUCCAGUCCCGCGUAGCCUAGGCGGUCGCUGCUGUCGCCACUGCAGAUCAUCACAAGCCCCAGGAAAAUGAUACAAACCACCAAGGACCUCGUCCAAACUUGCCAAAUGCUCGGCGACAUGGAUGAGGUUUCUAGUAGGGGUUCAAGAGGGGAGAUGGUGCUUGCUAACACGAUGGACA